UUUUGGAUAAAGCAUCCUUAUGUGUCUGGGGGAGUGACAUUCUCUGCCUGGUGGCCCAGCCCUGGCAGAUUCAAAUGCUCCAGCCAGUUUCUAUAAAUGUGAACAUUUCAAUUGGGCAGCAGCUGCCAUGGUAACUGGCUGAAUCUUAGAACUUAGGAACUGGGAACAGACCAGAGACCAGGUAACUUCCAAUAAGGCUCUUUUGAAUUGCGCUGGUGUGUGGAAGCUCACUAAGGAGACCUGACUUUGCCCAAGUGCUCCAGACUGCUGACAGCCAGGGCUUCCCUCUCUCUAGGAAGGGAUCUUCAGGGGCUUUGCUGGCCAUAUUUGACAGACGAGAUUUUUCUUGGUACACUGAAGUGAUAGGACUGGGGACGGGCAUAGCAAAGCAGGCAGAGGAAGAUCACUGUCACCUUUAAUGUUCUGUUCCAGUCAAACUUGCAAGUGACAAUCCAUGCUUUCUGUAUGCUGUGUGCUCAGUGUUUGACCCCAGCUGGAGGAGGGGUCAAAUAGGACAACACAUACAGCUGUGCAUGUGCAUUCAGAUGUUCAGGUUGUGCACUGUGUAAGUCCAUCCAGGCUGUGUGCAUGACACUCCCUGAAGUGUGCUGUAUGCCAGCACUGAGAAUGGAGGUAACAAAAUAAAAAGGAGAUGCUUCAGGGAUUUUCUAUUCA
rnacentral:lncRNA from 1 species